CAAUAAGCGGAGGAAAAGAAACCAACAGGGAUUGCCUCAGUAACGGCGAGUGAAGCGGCAAAAGCUCAAAUUUUAAAUCUGACGCCCACAAGCGUUCGAGUUGUACUUUGGAGAGGCAUCUUCGUAAGGGGUCCAGCCUAUGUUCCUUGGAACAGGGCGUCAUAGAGGGUGAGAAUCCCGUUCAUGGCUGGAUACUCCUUGUAUUAUGUAGUGUCUUCAACGAGUCGAGUUGUUUGGGAAUGCAGCUCAAAAUGGGUGGUAAAUUUCAUCUAAAGCUAAAUAUUGGCGAGAGACCGAUAGCGCACAAGUAGAGUGAUCGAAAGAUGAAAAGCACUUUGAAAAUAGAGUCAAACAGUACGUGAAAUUGUUGAAAGGGAAGCGCUUGAGAUCAGAGUCAGUCGAUUAUAAACAACUUUCCUUCUGGAUGGUGCACUUAUUAUUGAUUGGGCCAGCAUCAGUUGGGACGGCAGGAUAAAGGCCAUGGGAAUGUGACUCCAUUUCGGAGUGUUAUAGCCCCUGGUGCCAUGCUGUCUGCCCUGACUGUGGACCGCGCUUCGGCUUGGAUGCUGGCUUAAUGGUCUUCAGCGGCCCGUCUUGAAACACGGACCAAGGAGUCUAACGUCUAUGCAAGUGUUUGGGCUCAAAACCCUCACGCGUAAUGAAAGUGAACGGAGGUGGGAACCCUGCAAGGGGUGCACCAUCGACCGAUCCUGAUGUCUUCGGAUGGAUUUGAGUAGGAGCAUAGCUGUUGGGACCCGAAAGAUGGUGAACUAUGCCUGAAUAGGGUGAAGCCAGAGGAAACUCUGGUGGAGGCUCGCAGCGGUUCUGACGUGCAAAUCGAUCGUCAAAUUUGGGUAUAGGGGCGAAAGACUAAUCGAACCAUCUA
rnacentral:rRNA from 1 species